rnacentral:tRNA from 1 species
GGAAAGAUGCCAGAGUGGUCGAAUGGACUGGACUCGAAAUCCAGCGAACGGCCUAGCCGUUCCGUGGGUUCGAAUCCCACCCUUUCCG